rnacentral:ncRNA from 2 species
AAAAUUAUUAUAGCGCCAGAACUCUGUUUUUGUAUAGUGACUAUGAAAUUAAAUGUAACUUAUUGCUAUAUAUAGAGUUGACGAGGAAUAGAGUUAUCGAGUGGUUCGGCGGAUACUCUAGUGGUCUCACAGCCUAAUUAGAUAACAAAAAGAUAGGGUAACUUAUCUUACAAAAAGUCUAAAGUGAAAUUCU